rfam:Bacillus selenatarsenatis SF-1 DNA, contig: BSSF00040.
AAAAAAAAAGCCCUGCAGUUUCUGCAGGGUCCUUCUAUAUCCUGUCAACAGGAUAGAAGGCAAAGGGAGAGGAGAAACCGGAGGAAGAACUUAUGGGGAAACGUAAGUCUUCUCCGCGG